rnacentral:lncRNA from 1 species
AAUCAAUCAGCAAAUAUUCCUGAGAAACUUUUCUGUAUCACACAUUGCACAGGAAAUACAGGCAAAAGAACUAGAAUAUCCCGAAAAUUCUUGAGCUCAGGCUAUAAUGGAGAAGCUGACAAAUUACAUGACCACUGUGCUCCGUGAGAAUUUCUGUUCUGUAGGUACACCUGAAGAGGAGAGAAAAAGGAGUAAUUACAAACUGGCUGCCAGUGGACCCAUAAGCUCCCUGGGAGUCCAUUGUAAGGGAAUCCUUAUGUUCCAUGUACCUAAUGGGCCUGAUAGGCAGAAACAACAAAAUGCAGAAGGUAUGCUCAACCGGUGGAGCCAGGGCCAGGGCUGGAAGUGACCUCAGGUGUCCCCAUGCAUGGCAGUUAAAUCGCU